rnacentral:ncRNA from 1 species
CUUUGAAAGGAGGUGAGUCUAUUGAAGGAUUUUUUGACUUUGGUUGUAGCUCCAAUGCUUGUGGAAAUAGUGAAAUCACUAUUCGAUCAUUGGUUGGAUGAUCGGCAUGACAACAAAAAGCAUUAAUAGUCGCUUUUACUCAACCC